rnacentral:rRNA from 1 species
AUUGAACGCUGGCGGCAGGCUUAACACAUGCAAGUCGAGCGGGGGAAGGUAGCUUGCUACCGGACCUAGCGGCGGACGGGUGAGUAAUGCUUAGGAAUCUGCCUAUUAGUGGGGGACAACAUCUCGAAAGGGAUGCUAAUACCGCAUACGUCCUACGGGAGAAAGCAGGGGAUCUUCGGACCUUGCGCUAAUAGAUGAGCCUAAGUUGGAUUAGCUAGUUGGUGGGGUAAAGGCCUACCAAGGCGACGAUCUGUAGCGGGUCUGAGAGGAUGAUCCGCCACACUGGGACUGAGACACGGCCCAGACUCCUACGGGAGGCAGCAGUGGGGAAUAUUGGACAAUGGGGGGAACCCUGAUCCAGCCAUGCCGCGUGUGCGAAGAAGGCCUUAUGGUUGUAAAGCACUUUAAGCGAGGAGGAGGCUACUCUAGUUAAUACCUAGGGAUAGUGGACGUUACUCGCAGAAUAAGCACCGGCUAACUCUGUGCCAGCCGCCGCCGUAA